rnacentral:rRNA from 1 species
CGCGUAGGCGGCUCGCUAAGUCGGGUGUGAAAACUCUGGGCUCAACCCAGAGCCUGCAUUCGAAACUGACGAGCUAGAGUUCUGGAGGGGAAAGCGGAAUUCCUGGUGUAGCGGUGAAAUGCGUAGAUAUCAGGAGGAACACCGGUGGCGAAGGCGGCUUUCUGGACAGAAACUGACGCUGAGGCGCGAAAGCUAGGGGAGCAAACAGGAUUAGAUACCCUGGUAGUCCUAGCCCUAAACGAUGGAUACUUGCUGUGAGGGGGAUUGAAUCCCUUCGUGGCGAAGCUAACGCAUUAAGUAUCCCGCCUGGGGAGUACGGUCGCAAGGCUGAA